AUUGAACGCUGGCGGCAGGCCUAACACAUGCAAGUCGAACGAGUGGCGGACGGGUGAGUAAUGUCUGGGAAACUGCCCGAUGGAGGGGGAUAACUACUGGAAACGGGAGCUAAUACCGCAUACCAUCGGAUGUGCCCAGAUUGGAUUAGCUAGUAGUGGGGGUAACGGCUCACCUAGGCGACGAUCCCUAGCUGGUCUGCGAGGAUGACCAGCCACACUGGAACUGAGACACGUGCCAGACUCCUACGGGAGGCAGCAGUGGGGAAUAGUGCACAAUGGGCGCAAGCCUGAUGCAGCCAUGCCGCGUGUAUGAAGAAGGCCUUCGGGUUGGAAAGGACUUUCAGCGAGGAGGCGUUACUCGCAGAAGAAGCACCGGCUAACUCCGUGCUAGCAGCCGCGGUAAUAC
rnacentral:rRNA from 1 species